ACAGCCAGGCCAGAAAACAAAAAAAGAAAAAACUUCUUCGGCUUCUUCUUCAUCUUCUACCUCUUCUUCUCCUUCGGCUUCUUCUUCCCUUGCCUCCAAGCUCUCCCGAUUUUUUUUUUCUUUUUCUUUUUUUUUUUCUUCAUCUUUCCCUGCCUCCAUCUUCUCCGGCCGCUAGCCACCGCUGCAACCUCACGACCACGAACAGCCCCUCCAGCCCACGCCGCGAACAUCCACAGCCACCGGUGGCCUCCCCUUGCCGCCUCCGCCAGUAGCCACCGCAAGCCACCACCGGCAGCAACUCCGUCAACCUCGGCCGAGACCAGUCUCGGUCCUUUGUCGUCACUCCCCGUAGACCAGCAUAGCCCCACUCUGGCCGCUCCAUCAACUCUUGCUACUCAUGCAUCGCCGUCAUCACCUCUCACACUGCUCAUCUUCGUCUCCAUUGCCGCGCCCAGCUCCGGUCUUUAACUCCGGCCACGACCCAGUUCCUGCAAACCCAGACACGUACCAGCUCCUGCAAAUCCAGCUUUAACCACCUCACGGCCAGCCUCCAACCCCUGCUGCAUGAGCAGGACAACCAUUCGUUCCCUUUGAUAGACAUUUCUCUCUAGGCUCAAUAAGAAUCACCCAUCAUAGUUCAACUCAUCUAUAAAAUGGGAAGAUGAGAAGAAGGACGUAUAGCCGGGUAGAAAAGGAAUACUGCAAGUGCUGUACAACAAGCCCAGAUUUCAAAGUUUGCAGAUGGGAAUUUGGCUGUACGAUGUGCUGAAUCUUUCAGGGGAGCCCCUUAAGUUAAACAACUCAUCGGACAGUUGGAGUUUGAACAAUGUGACCAAUACAGUUGAUAAAGUGACUGGGUAUUCCAGUGAUUCCUGGUACUUCACUUCAAGCCAUCCAAAUGUAACUAUCCAAGUCUAUGAUGCUGGCUCGUGGAAAUUGACCAUUAAAGUUACCGCAGACACCACCUCGGCCAGUGUAACCGCGACAUGGGGCAUAACAAAGAACUAUUCGCGCUUUAACUUCAUUUUUCAAGACACUAUAAUUUGGUUUUACACUUCAGACAAUCCUGUCACCUUGAACGGGAGUCAGCACCAGGGAUGGUAUCUAGAUAUUACGGAGGAAGAACUCAACUGGGUGCCCUAUGACGUGGCUUCGUAGUAUGUAUGCAUGCAUGGGAUUUCGAGAUGGCCAUUAAUCCAGUUUACUUAAAUUACUACUACUUUCUGUGUGCCCAGCCGGCUUUUAUUUUGUAAUAAAUCUUCAAUUUGCACGUCUGGUGUUGGUAAUAAAGUUUCUUCUUUGGUGGAGGAACAGGAAGAAGGCCCACUUCCAGGCACUCCGAUGUUAUAUGUAAUAAAGGAAAAAUAAAAUUAAA